UUAUUGUUUGAAGAUGCAUAAAGCAGUUAUUGCAUCUUUUUCUCGAACACUUCUUUUUUCCUCAAAACCAGCAGUUAGUGCAUUUGCAGCAAGGUACUCAGGAUCUACUGUGCACUUUGCUGAUGAGCAUAAUGGCACAGGGAGAACUCUAACCCAAAGAAUUGUGCCUGUGGUAGCCAUAUUGGUGUAACUGUUAUACAAUGAGCAUCAUGUUUAUGUUGGGGCAGUUUCUUCCUUGUGCGAUGACCAACUUGUGUGGUGCGAAAGCGGUGUUCCUCUUAUCAGAAGUUUGCACUUUGGAGUUUCAUGUUAUGAUUUGAGGAAGGCUGCUGCCAUGAAUGGCUACUGCAAAAUCAAUUGUAGAGGAUAGUGAAUCUGGUUGUAUGCAAAAAACUUCCAACAUGUGUUCCACCAAAUGAG